rnacentral:rRNA from 1 species
UACGGAGGAUGCGAGCGUUAUCCGGAUUUAUUGGGUUUAAAGGGUGCGUAGGCGGGCUUUUAAGUCAGCGGUAAAAAUUCGGGGCUCAACCCCGUCCGGCCGUUGAAACUGGGGGUCUUGAGUGGGCGAGAAGAAGGCGGAAUGCGUGGUGUAGCGGUGAAAUGCAUAGAUAUCACGCAGAACUCCGAUUGCGAAGGCAGCAUACCGGCGCCCAACUGACGCUGAAGCACGAAAGCGUGGGUAUCGAACAGG